UACGAAGGGGGCUAGCGUUGCUCGGAAUUACUGGGCGUAAAGCGCACGUAGGCGGAUCUUUAAGUCAGGGGUGAAAUCCUGGAGCUCAACUCCAGAACUGCCUUUGAUACUGAGGGUCUUGAGUUCGGGAGAGGUGAGUGGAACUGCGAGUGUAGAGGUGAAAUUCGUAGAUAUUCGCAAGAACACCAGUGGCGAAGGCGGCUCACUGGCCCGAUACUGACGCUGAGGAGCGAAAGCGUGGGGAGCAAACAGG
rnacentral:rRNA from 1 species